rnacentral:rRNA from 1 species
UGUUUGGCACCUCGAUGUCGACUCAUCGCAUCCUGGGGCUGGAGCAGGUCCCAAGGGUAUGGCUGUUCGCCAUUUAAAGCGGUACGUGAGUUGGGUUCAGAACGUCGUGAGACAGUUCGGUCCCUAUCUGCCGUGGGUGUAGGAAUAUUGACAGGAUCUGUCCCUAGUACGAGAGGACCGGGAUGGACGUAUCUCUGGUGGACCUGUUGUGGCGCCAGCCGCAUAGCAGGGUAGCUAUAUACGGACGGGAUAACCGCUGAAGGCAUCUAAGCGGGAAACCCACCUGAAAACGAGUAUUCCCUAUCAGAGCCGUGGAAGACCACCACGUUGAUAGGCCGGGUGUGGAAGUGCGGCAACGCAUGCAGCUUACCGGUACUAAUAGCUCGAUCGACUUGAUCACUCCCAUUU